rnacentral:rRNA from 1 species
AGAGUUUGAUCCUGGCUCAGGAUGAACGCUGGCGGUAUGCUUAACACAUGCAAGUCGAACGGGAUGCUUAGGCAUCUAGUGGCGGACGGGUGAGUAACGCGUGAGAAUCUGGCUCCAGGUCGGGGAUAACAGUUGGAAACGACUGCUAAUACCGGAUGUGCCGAGAGGUGAAAGAUUUAUUGCCUGGAGAUGAGCUCGCGUCUGAUUAGCUAGUUGGUGGUGUAAGGGACCACCAAGGCGUCGAUCAGUAGCUGGUCUGAGAGGAUGAUCAGCCACACUGGGACUGAGACACGGCCCAGACUCCUACGGGAGGCAGCAGUGGGGAAUUUUCCGCAAUGGGCGAAAGCCUGACGGAGCAAUACCGCGUGAGGGAGGCUCUUGGGUCGUAAACCUCUUUUCUCAAGGAAGAAGAAAGUGACGGUACUUGAGGAAUAAGCAUCGGCUAACUCCGUGCCAGCAGCCGCGGUAAUACGGAGGAUGCAAGCGUUAUCCGGAAUGAUUGGGCGUAAAGGGUCUGCAGGUGGAACUGAAAGUCUGCUGUUAAAGAGUUUGGCUUAACCAAAUAAAAGCGGUGGAAACUACAGAACUAGAGUGCGGUAGGGGCAAAAGGAAUUCCUGGUGUAGCGGUGAAAUGCGUAGAUAUCAGGAAGAACACCGGUGGCGAAAGCGUUUUGCUAGACCGUAACUGACACUGAGGGACGAAAGCUAGGGGAGCGAAUGGGAUUAGAUACCCCAGUAGUCCUAGCCGUAAACGAUGGAUACUAGGCGUGGCUUGUAUCGACCCGAGCCGUGCCGGAGCUAACGCGUUAAGUAUCCCGCCUGGGGAGUACGCACGCAAGUGUGAAACUCAAAGGAAUUGACGGGGGCCCGCACAAGCGGUGGAGUAUGUGGUUUAAUUCGAUGCAACGCGAAGAACCUUACCAAGACUUGACAUCCUGCGAAUCCUGGUGAAAGCUGGGAGUGCCUUAGGGAGCGCAGAGACAGGUGGUGCAUGGCUGUCGUCAGCUCGUGUCGUGAGAUGUUGGGUUAAGUCCCGCAACGAGCGCAACCCUCGUUUUUAGUUGCCAGCAUUAAGUUGGGCACUCUAGAGAGACUGCCGGUGACAAACCGGAGGAAGGUGAGGAUGACGUCAAGUCAGCAUGCCCCUUACGUCUUGGGCUACACACGUACUACAAUGCUACGGACAGAGGGCAGCGAGCCAGGGAUGGCAAGCGAAUCCAGAAACCGUAGCUCAGUUCAGAUCGAAGGCUGCAACUCGCCUUCGUGAAGGAGGAAUCGCUAGUAAUUGCAGGUCAGCAUACUGCAGUGAAUUCGUUCCCGGGCCUGUUACACACCGCCCGUCACACCAUGGAAGUUGGUCACGCCGAAGUCAUUACCCCAACCGAAAGGAGGGGGAUGCCUAAGGUAGGACUGGUGACUGGGGUGAAGUCGUAACAAGGUAGCCGUACCGGAAGGUGUGGCUGGAUCACCU